rnacentral:rRNA from 1 species
ACGUUGAAACGCCGAUUCCCGUACGAUCAGCGAAGUUAAGUAACACCGAGCCUGGUCACUACCUAGUUGGGUGAUCGUUUGGGAAUACCAGGUGCUGUAA